UGAUAGCCCCGUAACCGACACAUCAUAAUCAGUGAAAACGAGUAGGGCGGGACACGUGAUAUCCUGUUUGAACAUGGGGGGACCAUCCUCCAAGGCUAAAUACUACUGACUGACCGAUAGUGAACCAGUACCGUGAGGGAAAGGCGAAAAGAACCCCUGUGAGGGGAGUGAAAUAGAACCUGAAACCGUGUACGUACAAGCAGUAGGAGCGCCUCGAAGCGUGACUGC
rnacentral:rRNA from 1 species